rnacentral:rRNA from 1 species
AUACGGAGGAUCCGAGCGUUAUCCGGAUUUAUUGGGUUUAAAGGGUGCGCAGGCGGGAGAUUAAGUCGGCGGUGAAAUUUUUCAGCUUAACUGUAAAAGUGCCUUCGAAACUGGUUUUCUUGAGGGUUGAUGAAGGAGGCGGAAUUUGUGGCGUAGCGGGGAAAUGCAUAGAUAUCACGAAGAACUCCGAUUGCGCAGGCAGCUUACUAACCUCCUACUGACGCUCCGGCACGAAGGCCUUGGGAUCAAACAGGAGUAGAUGCCCUGGUAGUCCACGCAGUAAACGACGAUUACUAGAUGUUUGCGAUACAAUGUAAGCUGCUGAGCGAAAGCGUUAAGUAAUCCACCUGGGGAGUACGUUCGCAAGAAUGAAACUCAAAGGAAUUGACGGGG